rnacentral:rRNA from 1 species
UACGGAGGGGGCAAGCGUUGUCCGGAUUUAUUGGGCGUAAAGAGCGCGUAGGCGGUCAGGCAGGUCAGCUGUGAAAACUCGAGGCUCAACCUCGAGAUGUCGGCUGAAACCAUCUGGCUAGAGUCCGGAAGAGGAGAAUGGAAUUCCCGGUGUAGCGGUGAAAUGCGCAGAUAUCGGGAAGAACACCCGUGGCGAAGGCGGUUCUCUGGGACGGUACUGACGCUGAGACGCGAAAGCGUGGGGAGCGAACAGG